rnacentral:rRNA from 1 species
AUAAUGGGUCAGCGACUUAUAUUCUGUAGCAAGGUUAACCGAAUAGGGGAGCCGAAGGGAAACCGAGUCUUAACUGGGCGUUAAGUUGCAGGGUAUAGACCCGAAACCCGGUGAUCUAGCCAUGGGCAGGUUGAAGGUUGGGUAACACUAACUGGAGGACCGAACCGACUAAUGUUGAAAAAUUAGCGGAUGACUUGUGGCUGGGGGUGAAAGGCCAAUCAAACCGGGAGAUAGCUGGUUCUCCCCGAAAGCUAUUUAGGUAGCGCCUCGUGAAUUCAUCUCCGGGGGUAGAGCACUGUUUCGGCAAGGGGGUCAUCCCGACUUACCAACCCGAUGCAAACUGCGAAUACCGGAGAAUGUUAUCACGGGAGACACACGGCGGGUGCUAACGUCCGUCGUGAAGAGGGAAACAACCCAGACCGCCAGCUAAGGUCCCAAAGUCAUGGUUAAGUGGGAAACGAUGUGGGAAGGCCCAGACAGCCAGGAUGUUGGCUUAGAAGCAGCCAUCAUUUAAAGAAAGCGUAAUAGCUCACUGGUCGAGUCGGCCUGCGCGGAAGAUGUAACGGGGCUAAACCAUGCACCGAAGCUGCGGCAGCGACGCUUAUGCGUUGUUGGGUAGGGGAGCGUUCUGUAAGCCUGUGAAGGUGUACUGUGAGGUAUGCUGGAGGUAUCAGAAGUGCGAAUGCUGACAUAAGUAACGAUAAAGCGGGUGAAAAGCCCGCUCGCCGGAAGACCAAGGGUUCCUGUCUAACGUUAAUCGGGGCAGGGUGAGUCGACCCCUAAGGCGAGGCCGAAAGGCGUAGUCGAUGGGAAACAGGUUAAUAUUCCUGUACUUGGUGUUACUGCGAAGGGGGGACGGAGAAGGCUAUGUUGGCCGGGCG